rnacentral:lncRNA from 1 species
GUUCUUCUUUCUACCUUUCUAAGAUUCCACCAUGUUGCUUGUUUAGUUCAACCAGUGCUGAUAGGGACACGUUUGCACUUGUCUCUCAGUGAACAUUCGCAAGAGAUUUUCUAGGCCUCCAGGCAGAAGCCGCUGCUGACGGGGAGAGUCUGCUGGAGGAAGUCACAUGGCAGAUGCCAGAGGACCAGCCUGGGAGAGGCUUUCUAGCAACCAGGACACCUGCCGCAGUGCCACGCUUUCUCCAGGAAACAAGGACAGCUGCACGGGUGCCCACACGAGAGUCGGCGACCAGCCUCGGCGGUGGGGUUCCUGCAACGCGUGUUCCUGCUGGGGUUCUCCUUUCUGCUGUUCCGAGCUACAGUGCGGAUCAUGCUCCCCAUACGUGGAGUCCAGGGACAGCACAGCCCGGGGACUGCCCAGCCAGCCAGGAAGUCUGGCUUUCAGAGAACUGGGAAGACCAUCUUCCACUUUAUCCCAUCUGGGAGACUGUAAACAUGGAUUCCACUGUCUCGGACAGUGAGACGAUUCCCAGUCUUUUCCUGUUCCUCCUCUAGGUAUGUAGCUGCUAUCAGCUUCCAGAAACGCUGGAAGGAAGGGCGUUGCUUUGGCAGGACACGUGGGGAGAUGGGCUGGGAGGGGAGAUCCCGGAGGUAAGGAGGGGAGGCUUUCCUCUCCCCACACUGGGAACUCAGUUUCUAGCCCCAGGUUCCUGGUUGUGUCCGGCAUCCCAGGAGCAUGAGUGGGAAGCUGCUGCAUCCACCUGCCGUGUGCAGUCGGGGACCAGCUGCAGAGCGCACUAUGCAUCCUUUAGACUCUGCAGGCUCAAGUGAAAACCCAGCUCUGCCACUGCUCUCUGGAUGACCUUGCCACCUCCCUCUCCUCCUUUGAAAAGUGUGGGAAAUGCUGCUUUUCAUCAAGUCCAAGUCACCAUGUAUUGUGGCUUAAACGGCAGUGUUAUUUUCUUUCUCAGUGACACAUAACAUACUGCUGCGUUUUUUAACAGAUGCUGUCUUGGACGCAGUGAAGUCUGCCGAUGGCUGUUUCAGAGCCGUUAGGAUGGUGAAGUGAGACAAUGUGAAUGGAGUGUUUUGUGAGGCUCAGUGCUGCAUAAAUGCUAGCCAUUAUCUAAUAGCAAGAAUUCCUUGAAAUGUUUCUUUCUCUCAAAUUUAUGAAAAGAUUAGAAAAUAGUUCUAAAAAUUAAAAAUGCUUCUGGUCGGAGCGGCUUACAUGAUGGCAGUGAAAGUGUGCAGCUUCAUGGGUCCCACUGCGUGCACUUGGCAUGGAGAGAACGAAAUGUGGAGGCCAGCGAUACCAAGAACACCCCUGUGAGCCGCGCUGGGUGCAGCCCCCACGGCCGGCGGGCAGUGACACCGCAGUUUCCUCUCCUGCCGGCAUCCACGCUUCCUGUGCCCAGGUGCUGGAAGCUCAGUCUUCAUGUCCCCUUCUCAGUUAUGUGUCUGUAGGGCUGGGACAGGGAAGGAAGUCAGUGAAGCUGGUUGGAUCUUCCAAGGGAUGCUCUGUGUGCAAGGCUCGGGGACAAGGAUGGCUGGGGGAGUCAGACUGUCAGUGAAGCUGAGGGGCGGAUGGAGCCUCACCACGCCUGAGUCCCUGUUUUCCAGCUGCAGAUGCUGACCCUCCAGAGCUUUGUUUACCAGCCCCUGUGACUGCGAUCUGGAGUCAGCCAGGCGUUCCUCCUUGUCCGGUAGAUUUUAUUAAGUGCUCAAUGUGUGCCAAGCCAAAUGUCCGUUUGACUUACUGCAUGUCCGAGAAGCGAUGCCGUUGAAGGAAUUUCCUCCCCAAGCCUGAAGGAAUUGAACACCAGGAAUGACUGGAACCCUGGAGAGAGAGAACUGGAUUUCUGGAGGAAAAUCACUCGUUUUAAGGAAGCAGCAUCCUGGACCCUUGAGGCCCUGGAGGAAGCGGGCAGCACAGCUCGGAGGCGGGUGUGGCUGGAGGACGGCCGUCGCACCUGCGAAAUUCUGUCUGUGGUACGUGGUUCCUUCCUGGCUCUGGGAACCACCUGGAUACUUGCAUUCUUCCCUUUUCCUUUCUAUUCUCUUUCAAGUCACCCUCCUUGAGACAGCCCUCCAGUCCAGGCCAAAUCUCAGCCUGCCCUUGGUCCGCUGUGGUUGGGCCUGCACCCAAGCCAUGAGCACACGCAGCAAUUGUGGCAGCAGAAGCUUCCUCUGGGCUCAGACUCAGGCUGAUGCUGCGUCAGGACCUGCCGCGGUCUCGGCUGGGCUUCCUGGGACUCGGUGGUUGUGGGCUGAUUGUAAAGCACGGAAUGACUCUUAGAAACUGGGCGUCAUUCUUUGUGGUUUUCCAAGCUUGGUCUCUGAUGAUACUCCAGGUCUUAGGAGACAUGCUGAAUAUUUAUUAUGCUUACAUUCAAGCAACAUUAACCCUUAAGGUUGAUGUAGCUCCCCGUCUUUUUUUCCCAGAAGGAGGAGCACUGAAGGAACACUUUUCCAGUAUGGAUUCUUUCCAGCUCCGAGAAGCUGGAGGCACACGGAUCCCUCGGCCAGCUCUCAUCUAUGGACGUGCUGUAGUCACAAGGACUGUGACUAAGGCUCAGUCCCUGAAGAGUGCCUUGGCAUGGGCUGCUUUAGGCUGUAAACACCCAGUUUUAUCCACUUUAUGUGAAGAAAGCCAACAAGGGGCAUGGAGUGAGUUCCGCAGGUUUUAGUGGCUGCGGAGGCUGGUGCUCAGUGGGGAUGAUGGAGGGAAGGCGCCUCCCUCUGCGGGCCCCGAGGUCUGUGCGGGAAUCAGCUCUGCAGUUGUGUCCAGGGGCAGCCGUAGACCACACACGGCAGGCUCACAGCUCUGUUCCAUGAGAACUUUAUACACAAAAGCAGACGGGCUGGCUUGGCCUCUGGAUCAUAAUCUGCUGACCCCUGGGGCAACGUUGGCUGCAGCGGAGAUGGCUGCUCCCCGGUGGGGUGUGUGCUCAGCCCGCAGCCCCCGCCCUCCGGACUCCGUUCGCCUCUGCUCUCAGCUUUGCACCUCGUCAUUGUCUUCUAAUUGUGCAUCCCUGGACUGCGUGACCUACAAGGCUCUCAGCACAACAAGACUCUAUGAUUCUGUCUAUUGGAACAAAAAGCCAGUGAGGCAAGUGUAUCAUCCUGUUGAUGAAUUCACAGAAUUAACUCUGGGAGUUGGGGACAGUUUGUAUUCUUCUUCCAGACACUCUCUGUUUCUGCUGGAUGGAAAGGUUCUGCUACUUGUCCUGUGGUCAGGCCCAGCUGAUGGAAUGGAAUGGAAGUGACUCAGCCCCUUACUGGCAGAAACUUUAAAAGCCGCACAACAUUCCUGCACCCUCCCCUCUGCCAUGAGCCUGGCAGUGCUCAGGAUGGGAAAAUUAUUUCACCUGGGCCUGAGGAUACAGGAGCUACUCCCAGCGUGCAGUGGAAGAGAAGCAUGGGCAAGUAAUUAAACUUUGUGUUUUCAAGCCACAGAGGUUUUUUGAGGUUGUUUGCUACCAUGCUUUGUCCCUACAAACACAGUCAUGGAGAAGGCCAGUGGCAGAGCCUGAGCCGUUCGUGCAUCUGUUCACCAGCAUCCAGAAUAACAAUAGAUUUUUGAAACAUUCCUGAGAAAAUUCUGGGAGUUGCAUACCGGCCAGUCUUAUUCCCUAAAGUUGUUCCUUCUAAAGGGUGGGAUGACCAAAAAUUUCAGAAAAGCAAACCACCGCUGAAAGGCAACGUUAUUUCUGUUGGCAGAAGGCGGCCUGAGCAAUCUAGAUUUUCCACGGUUCACCAACUAGUUUUUAAGGAAAUAUGGCUGUGAGAGGAAUAAAACAUAAUUCCUACCUUUAAGGAACUCAGAGAAGUGAAUUAAAGGAAGUCACAGAUCAGGCAACCAACCACACAAAGUUUCUAAGAGCAAACUGUUCAGGUCGGCAAGUCACUCUUAUCCACUGUUUUGCCUUCUGAGGUUUCAGUUACUCUCAGUCAGUCAUGGUCCAAAAACAUUAAAUGAAAAAUUCCAGAAAUAAACAAUUCACACGUUUUAAAAAAAAAAAAAAAAAA